GUUUUCUAAAAUUAAAAAUUAUAAGGUUUUGCAUAACAAGCUUAGAAGUGAACUUAAGUAAUUAUUUUCAAAAAGCUUCUCUAAACUUAAAUUGACCUUGCUAGUUCUUUUCCGUUCAGCUACCGCGAUUGGAACAUGUCUUAUUCACCUGAAAGAAGGACGGACGAUUGGACAGACGAUGCUAAGAAUGGCCCAGCAAAGGAUCAAGGUUACGAGGGUCCUCCCGGAAUGGAGCCUGGUGGAGCCCUCGACACUAACUGGGACGAAGUCGUGGAAAGCUUCGAUGACAUGAAUUUGAAAGAAGAAUUGCUGAGAGGAAUAUACGCGUACGGUUUUGAGAAACCGUCUGCCAUUCAACAGCGUGCUAUCAUGCCCUGCAUCCAAGGCCGCGAUGUCAUAGCCCAAGCUCAGUCGGGAACGGGCAAAACUGCUACAUUCUCUAUCUCAAUUCUUCAACAAAUUGAUACUAGUAUUCGUGAAUGUCAAGCUCUUAUUUUGGCACCUACAAGAGAGCUUGCUCAACAAAUUCAAAAAGUGGUGAUAGCACUUGGUGAUCAUUUAAAUGCAAAAUGUCAUGCCUGCAUUGGUGGUACCAAUGUACGUGAAGAUAUGCGUCAGCUGGAGAGUGGUGUGCAUGUUGUUGUGGGAACACCUGGCCGUGUUUAUGAUAUGAUCACCCGUCGGGCUCUGCGAGCCAACACUAUCAAGCUCUUCGUACUUGAUGAAGCUGAUGAAAUGUUGUCAAGAGGAUUUAAAGAUCAAAUCCAUGAUGUAUUUAAGAUGCUCUCCGCUGAUGUUCAGGUUAUUCUGCUAUCAGCUACAAUGCCGGAUGAUGUAUUGGAAGUCUCAAGAUGUUUCAUGAGGGACCCAGUGCGCAUUCUUGUACAAAAGGAAGAGCUUACCCUGGAAGGUAUUAAACAAUUCUUUAUUUCAAUUGAUCAAGAGGAAUGGAAGUUAGAUACUCUCUGUGACUUAUAUGAUACUCUCUCAAUUGCUCAGGCUGUAAUUUUCUGUAACACUCGUCGCAAGGUCGAUUGGCUAACAGAGUCCAUGCACAAUCGUGAUUUUACUGUAUCUGCUAUGCAUGGAGACAUGGAGCAACGGGAACGUGAAGUGAUUAUGCGGCAGUUUCGUACUGGGUCUUCUCGUGUGCUGAUUACUACUGACUUGCUUGCCCGUGGUAUCGAUGUACAGCAAGUGUCUUGUGUCAUAAACUAUGACUUGCCCACUAACCGCGAAAAUUACAUUCAUAGAAUCGGAAGAGGAGGUCGAUUCGGUCGUAAGGGAAUCGCCAUCAACUUUGUGACUGAAGCAGACAGACGAGCUUUGAAGGACAUUGAGGAGUUUUACCAUACUACUAUUACUGAAAUGCCCAGUGAUGUGGCCAACCUUAUCUGAGGUGCCUACGCAUUCCGGUUUAUAAUUUUUGUGUCCUGCAUACUAUUGCGAUAUUUUUACAGUAACAUCUACCAUCUCGCCUGAACACUUUGGAUACAACUAUGUGGAAAUAAUAAAUCAAAAUUUCCCUAAUAAAAUUCAUUACUUUCUUUUGUCAGGCCCUAUGCAACCUCAUUGGUACCCAUCCUUGUUCUUUUCACCCAAAUUGUAGCCUUUAUUGUGGCACUAUAACCAAAGCCUGUUUUGCAUAUUUUUUAUUCUUUACAUGGUUUUUGUUUUGAAUAAUUUUAUUUUCGAAUAAAUUGCUUUUUACAAAUGAACUUGGUAAUUAAGGUUCCUGUAUACAUUUUAUAUAAAUUAGUCAAAAAUAUUUAUUGUGAAUUCUCUUUCAAAUACAUGUUAGCAUUCUCAUAAUAAAUUGUUUUCAGUAUA